rnacentral:lncRNA from 1 species
UACCACAAUAGAAAAGAUUUUUUUGAAAAAAAAUCAAGGUGUUCCCUUGUGGCUCAGUGAGUUAAUGAUCCAGUGGCAUCGUUACUGCUAUGGCUCUGGUUAUAGCUGUGGCGUAGGUUCAAUCUCUGACCGGUAAACUACCGGAUGCCACAGGCAUAGCCAAAAAAAAUCAGUUAAGUGCUCCCCUUUCCAACUGGAAUAGCUCUUUGAGUCAACUUUCUCCAACAAGUGGAAGUCCAUCACCACGGUGAUGCCUGUGCUGUGGGACCCCCAUGAAUCCCUGUGGUCUUACACAUACCUCUUUUUUUUUUUGUCUUUUUGCCAUUUCUAGGGCCCCUCCCAAGGCAUACAGAGGUUCCCAGGCUAGGGGUCAAAUCGGAGCUGUAGCCACUGGCCUAUGCCAGAGCCACAGCAAUGCAGGAUGGGAGCCACGUCUGCAGCCUUCACCACAGCUCACGGCAACGCUGGGUCCUUAACCCACUGAGCAAGGCCAGGGAUCGAACCCGCAACCUCAUGGUUCCUAGUCAGAUUCGUUAACCACUGAGCCACGAUGGGAACUCCUUACACACACCUCUUUCACCACUCCCCCUCCCCCUGCCCCAAGUGAAAUGCAGCAUUGUGGCACUCAGCCAGAAAUGACUUCCCGGUUUUUGUUUUUUUUUUGGUAUUUUUAGGGCUGCAGCCAUAGCAUAUGGAAGUUCCCUUCCAGACCAGGGGUUGAAUCAGAGCUGCAGCUACCAGCCCAGAGCCACAGCAACACGAGAUCUGAGUCACAUCUGUGAACAACACCACAGUUCACAGCAACACCAGAUCCUUAACCUACUGAGCAAGGCUAGGGAUCAAAUCUGCACCCUCAUGGAUAUCAGUCGGGUUCUUAACCUGCUGAACCACAGCGGGAACUCUCAACAAAUAAUUUUUGAGUGCACACUGUAUGUGAGGCAGUUUGAAGAGCAGAUUUUUGGUGUCUCCAUCUUUUUCUGUAACAUCUGUGCUUUCUCUGUGACAUCCUCCCCUCUCAACAAACUCGCCACAUCUAUUCCUCACCUCAUCGUGGUCACUUAUAGUCUCCUCCCUCAAAACUUGAUUUCAAGAAAAGCUCUAAUAUCCACACAUUCUUCAUUCUAACCCCAGGGCCUAGAACAGAGACUGCUCACUGUUACAAAGUUUACAAUUUAUUUAUUCAAAUAGAGUAAUCAAUGCAUAUUUUCUGAUGAAUGAAUAUAUGAAUGAAUGAACUUCCCUAUGUAUACUUGAUUAAACAAAUAAACUUUACUUUGUCUAUAGGUUCUCAAAAUAAUUAGCAAGAAUAGGGUCUUUGCUCUUUAGAAAGGCAUCAUGCAUUUGGAUGAAUGGAGUCUGAGGGAGUAAGAUAAGAAAAUCUAGAGCCAAACAAAAUUGUGUUCCUUGCAUUAGUUUUUGGUUUAGUGUGAUUUGCUCUGUUAUAUAUUGGCAAUUAAAUGUCAACUACUAAACGAUGGAAGAUAUACAUUGGGAGAAGUGCUUACUGUGUAACAUACUUGCCUUUAAUAGAUGACAACAUCAUUGCUGGAGGAGGUCAUUGAGAGGAUGUGACCACCUGUUGGCCUGCAAGCUGGACCGGGGCAAUCCAGAAGUCCUUCCUCUGUCCUUAGAAUGCACUUCUUGCUGGAGGGGAGCAAAAGGUAUAUUUUUGGCACGAGGAUUAAUUUAGGCUGACGAUUUUUAAAAGUCAGAAGACGCAGGAAGUCUUUCCUUUUACCUCCCCCUUGGCUACCUAAAGAAUUUAGAUAAAGGGCCUGUUCCCAGAAUAGAGCCAUCACCAGAGAUAGACUAUGGGCUGGAUGGGGUGGUGGAGAUCAGAGAUGUCUCUGUCUGUCUGCCCAGCCCAGCAAUCCGUUAUUGACCCAGCCAUUGCUUUUCCAUCUUCUUGUGAUUUGCCUCCCCCCCUAUUGGAGUCUCAAACAACUACCCUCAACAUGCUCUUUCAUCUUUAGCUGAUGAUGUUAUUUAAGGGGACGUCUUCAGACACUCUGGCAAGUUACUCAGUGUUUCUAGGUCUCUCCCCCGUACACUCGCUACAGAAUUUUAUGUUGGAUUUUCUCCUGUCUUAUAUCAAUUUAAUUCUUAGACCAGCCAGAAGUCCCUUGAAAGUACAAUUUCUUCCUCUCCAACACUGCCCACUGUUCCCACAGUGGAGCCAUUUUCAAGGAGGAAGGCUCAAGAGAGUACUUGUUGAGGCAUCUGGACUGUAUAUAUGUCUGAACUUAGUGAAGGCCUCUACGUAAAGAUUUAAGAUUCUGGAGGGUGAGUGUGGAGAUCUACUUGUCUGGCCCAAGACAGGCCUCAUAUGUCAGUUCUCUGGCUUAUUAAACCUGCCACCUACCAAUGUGGAAUGGCUGCCUCUUUCUUCUGUCUCUCCUUGGUUGAGAUUUGCAAAGCAACAGUCGUACACUCACUAGACUGUUUGGGGCCAGUUUGCAAACCAACAGACAUACACUCACUAGGCAGGGAAGAACCCAGCACAGCCUUUUUUCCUUAGCUUUAAACGUAAUAUUUAAAGAGAGGAGCUUAUGCUAGUUACUGUAUCAACUAAGGCUUAGAGCUGAGCUUGAAUAUAUUAUCAUUUUAACUCUCAUCAUAUUUGAGGUAUUUUAUGGUUCUAACAGUUAAAGCUAAUUUAUGUGCCACUUUCUCAAUAAAAAAUUUAAUCUCAUCCAAUGACAUACACUCUCUUCUUUCUGCAGCUCUCACCAGAAAGAAGUCAGCUGAGCCCCAAGACAGACUGGCCCCAGCCAAUCAUGGGGUGGCUGCUCCCUGAAUGCAGGCAAAAUUCUUUAAAGAAAUGGCCCUGCAAUUUUAGAACCUUUUUAGUAAUCAGUGUUUCAGAGAACUUGAGGUCAGUGGAUUAUUGCUACUAAUGUGUUUGAUGAAAGGUUCACAUGCUUCAGAGUCAGACAGACACACUUUUGGAUUUCUAUUCUAUUUCUUUCUAAUUAUACAAAGGAAUAAUAAUUUUCCUAGGCAAGUUAUUUAACCUCUCUAAGCCCUGAUUUAUUCAAAAGGUUGUAUGAGGAGGUAAGAGAACAGUAUCUGGCAGAGAGUUAGCUACUAGAAAAACAAUGGGGGUGGCCACAGUCAUGGGAGGUGGAAAUGGUCAGAAAAUUCGUGGGUUUGCACCUGACAAAAGGUGGCCUGGAAGACAAUGAGGAACAGGGAGGGAAGACAAAAUUCUAUUGUGUGCCAGACAAUAGAAUUUACAGCCCCAAAGGCUCCUCACUCACGUGUGACUUGACAGUAGAUAGCUACCAGCACCUCCAUGCCAAAGGUGAGAGAAUGAGGCCCAUUAAGACUUGAUGUAAUUUGCCAAGUUACUUACCAGGGAAGGGAAAAAGUUGGAAUUCAAACCUAUGACUUUGUGACUUCAAAAUCAAGGCUCAUUUGAGUAUCAUUUUGCCUAGGUUUGUAAUUCCAGCUGUGUUGGGCCGCAUCCCACAGGCCUACGUGGUCUGAACAAGACCAAAGAGCUGAGUCAGCUACAGAGGCAUCAGUGGCUUAAUGGUUGGGGGAGCUUACACACCUGAAGCAAGGUCCUGGAGUGACACGCCACCACGUGCAGAGGACUUCAGGCUGGACAGGGCUGCAGUCUUCACUCCAAGGAGAAGCGGGGGUAUUGCCAGAAACUGGGGGAACUGAUGUCAGGCUGGCUCACCAGUUACCAGUGAAACCAGCAGAGGGGCAGGCCAUUGAUAAGAACAAUCACGCCCUGGGCCUGGGGCAAGUAUGUAGGGAGGUUUUGCAGGUGAGGAGGCUGUAGGCUAGGCAGGCCCUGGAAGAGCAGGGGAUAAACAGAGACAAAGAGAUUAGCUGUUUUGAGUGGCCUGGCCAUAUGUUAAAUAUAUAUUAAAUAGCCCCAAAAUACAAUCAUUAUGGAGCAUGACUCAAUUUAAAAUUUUCUAAUAACUGCAUUUUUAAAUGUAAAGAAAAAAUGACAUUAAUGUUAAUAAUAUUUUAUUUAAUCCAAUAUAGCCAAAAUACUAUCACUUCGACACUACACUUCAUGCAACUGAUAUACAAAUUAGUCACUAGGAUUUUUUUACAUAUUAAGUCUUUAAGAUUGUAUUUUUUUUCUAUUAUAGUUGAUUUACCAUGUUCUGUCAAAUUCUGCUGUACAGCAAAGUAACCCAGUCAUAUAUAUCUAUAUCUAUAUAUAAAUAUAGAUAUAUAUACACACAUUUUCUUUUCCUCACAUUAUCCUCCAUCAUGUUCCAUCGCAAGGGACUAGAUACAGUUCCCUGUGCUAUACAGCAGGAUCUCAUUGUUUAUCCACUCCAAAUAGAAUUGUUUGCAUCUGCUAACCCCAAACUCCCAGUCCCUCCUACUCUAUAUACUGUCUUUAAAAUGUAAUGUAUGUUUUACAUUCAUAGCACUUCUCAGAGGCACUAAAUUCUCACUGUAAAUACUUGAUCUAUAUCUAGAUUUCAUAAAACAUACAGUGGAAAAAGUAGAUUUCACAUAACCAAACUGUUCCUAUAUAAACUUAAAACUUUUUCAAUUGCUAUGUAUUCAUUUUAAAAUUUAAACUGAUUAAUAAUUAAAUAAAAUCUUUCUCAAUAGCCACCUGCGGACAGCACAGGUCUAAAUGAAAGAUUUUGUCUAUCUAGAGGAUACUGAGAAAUAUACAUACAAGAUCUUCAGCAACCUCCCCUACAAAACUGAUUUCUUCAGAACAUCCCUCAGUGUUAGCUGAGGGUACACCGCUCAGGGUCAAGCAGAAAUUCAAGGCUAUGAAGUCCAAUCACCCAACUCGCUGAUUAUCUGGAGAGAAAGGAUCUCUCAAACGUUCUUCAGUCUACCCUCUGUCUGCAUUAUCAACUUGACUGAGUUUUUGAUUCGUAGGCUAAAGAAGAUAAUAUUUCAUAUGCAAGAGUCUGAAUUUAAGUAACAAUUCUCCUGAUUAAGAAUAAUCCAUACAUUUUGAAAAUCCAUGGUGGAAAAUUGAUAAGUACAUCCAAGAACAAAACAUACAAAGUUCUUUUGAGAAUUAAAAAGAUAGAUUAAUUUUUAAAAGUUCAUGAAUCCAUUAGAAAUAAUAUGUAAUUCCAAUACUAUUUAAAUACUGUUUAAAAAGAAAAAAAUGUGGAAAGCAUUCUCAUUUAGCUUUAUUGGAUCACCCUAACCCUUACAACAAAGUCUUAAAAAGGACUUCCCAGGUCAAAAAAUAACACAUUCAAUUCAAUUUAAAAUGCCAGUUUGUGAUGAAUAGGUGCAGAAAUUCAGCCUAUGAAAUGUGAAAAUCCUUUACACUCACUGUUUAUCGAUCCCCUGCUCUAUCUAAUCCAGUUAUAGAAAUAGAUGAGUUCAAGUAUAUUUAUGUCAAGGGUUGGGUGAUAGAGAAAUGACCAAAAUGCAAGCAUAAUAGUAAGAAGAAGGGGAAAACAAGCAGGGGCUGAAUCAGAAUUCCUUAAGUGAAAAUAUAAAGAGAACUCCCCCCAUUUUUCUCAUCUGCUGGAAAAUUUUAAAUGCCUGUCCCAUCCACAGGUCAGUUUUGUGAGGAACUUUCCAUUUAAAUCGACACAUCCGCCUCUUAAGAAUCCCGCCGGGAAGGGGUCCUCAGGUUCCAUAUUGACUCGAGCGGGUCUCCUGCUCUGGCAGCCAGAGAUGAUUAGCUACACCGCGGGGUGCGCAGAAUAAAUAAAGAUUACAUGAUUAUCAAAAUGUGACCAACAUCUGAGCAAACAGCAUGCACCUUGGCAGGAGGGAUGCCAGCAUUAAGGCAAAUCAUAUCCAACUGUGGAAAUAAACUUGUCAGAGGCAGGUUGCGGCUCCAAUCCAGGCUACAGACCUUCUGCUGGGCUGCCAGGCUCCUGGGAAUAAUUGCAAAGUGGUUCCAUGGCACCAGCACCAGCUGGCCGCCUGGGGGAGCCCAGGGCUUCCCCUCCCCCUCCCCCUCCCCCUUUCCUUCCCCCCGGGCUGUUUGUUUGACAUGCAUGUCGGAGAUCAUAACAUUUGAACUGGCAAGUCCCUCAAGGGGACUGAGCAUAAGGAAAUGACCGUAUUUCUGUAAUAUAAGUGUGGGGGAGAGCGUUUUGAUCUGUGGGUCUCCACAUUUAGGCAGGGUGAGCGAUAUUUGAGGCAGAGCACCCGGGAAGGAAAGAGAGUUCUCUCAAAGGGAGGUGGUGGGGCAGGCUCCCUGGGUGCCAAGCUCUGUGUGAAACGCAUCAUUGCCUUGAACCCGUACCAGGGCCCUAUGGAGUAGGUUCCAUUGUUAUUCCCAUAUUUCAAAUAAAGCAACGAAGAUACAGAAAAAGUAAGUAAUUUUCUCAAGGUCACACAGCUAGGAAAUGGAGGAGCUGGCAUAUUAAUUCCAGGUGGUAAAUCUGGAAACUGUCCUCUUAACAGCAGUGCCACAAGGCCACCCUAUGGGCCUGCUGGGGAAUUUCACUUGAGGAUGAAAUCCAGUUAAGAAAGAGUUUCAUCAAAAUGUACAAGUCAAGGAUAGACGCACAGGGUAGAAAGGAUGGAUGGGGAGUUCCCACAGGGGAUCAGUGGUUAAUGAACCCGACUAGUAGCCCUGAGGAGGCAGGUUCAAUCCCUGGUCUUGCUCUACAGCUCUGAUUUGACCCCCUGGGAAUGUCCAUAUGCUGGGGGUGUGGCCCUAAAAAGACAAAAGACCAAAAAGAACAAAAAAA